CAGUCGAGCGACAGAUAAGGAGCUUGCUCCUUUGACGUUAGCGGCGGACGGGUGAGUAACACGUGGGUAACCUACCUAUAAGACUGGGAUAACUUCGGGAAACCGGAGCUAAUACCGGAUAACAUUUGGAACCGCAUGGUUCUAAAGUGAAAGAUGGUUUUGCUAUCACUUAUAGAUGGACCCGCGCCGUAUUAGCUAGUUGGUAAGGUAACGGCUUACCAAGGCGACGAUACGUAGCCGACCUGAGAGGGUGAUCGGCCACACUGGAACUGAGACACGGUCCAGACUCCUACGGGAGGCAGCAGUAGGGAAUCUUCCGCAAUGGGCGAAAGCCUGACGGAGCAACGCCGCGUGAGUGAUGAAGGGUUUCGGCUCGUAAAACUCUGUUAUUAGGGAAGAACAAAUGUGUAAGUAACUGUGCACGUCUUGACGGUACCUAAUCAGAAAGCCACGGCUAACUACGUGCCAGCAGCCGCGGUAAUACGUAGGUGGCAAGCGUUAUCCGGAAUUAUUGGGCGUAAAGCGCGCGUAGGCGGUUUCUUAAGUCUGAUGUGAAAGCCCACGGCUCAACCGUGGAGGGUCAUUGGAAACUGGGAAACUUGAGUGCAGAAGAGGAAAGUGGAAUUCCAUGUGUAGCGGUGAAAUGCGCAGAGAUAUGGAGGAACACCAGUGGCGAAGGCGACUUUCUGGUCUGUAACUGACGCUGAUGUGCGAAAGCGUGGGGAUCAAACAGGAUUAGAUACCCUGGUAGUCCACGCCGUAAACGAUGAGUGCUAAGUGUUAGGGGGUUUCCGCCCCUU
rnacentral:rRNA from 1 species